rnacentral:rRNA from 1 species
GACGAACGCUGGCGGCGUGCCUAACACAUGCAAGUCGAACGGAAAGGCCCUGCUUUUGUGGGGUGCUCGAGUGGCGAACGGGUGAGUAACACGUGAGUAACCUGCCCUUGACUUUGGGAUAACUUCAGGAAAAUGGGGCUCAUACCGGAUAGGAGCUCCUGCUGCGUGGUGGGGGUUGGAAAGUUUCGGCGGUUGGGGAUGGACUCGCGGCUUAUCAGCUUGUUGGUGGGGUAGUGGCUUACCAAGGCUUUGACGGGUAGCCGGCCUGAGAGGGUGACCGGCGACAUGGGGCCUGAGAGACGGCGCAGACGCCUACGGGAGGCAGCAGGGGGGAAUAUUGCACAAUGGGCGGAAGCCUGAUGCAGCAACGCCGCGUGCGGGAUGACGGCCUUCGGGUUGUAAACCGCUUUCGCCUGUGACGAAGCGUGAGUGACGGUAAUGGGUAAAGAAGCACCGGCUAACUACGUG